rnacentral:tRNA from 1 species
AAAAUAGCUCAACUGGCUAGAGUGUAACUUUGCCAAAGUUAAAGUUGGAGGUUCAAAUCCUCUUUUUC